CAGCAGCAGCCGCGGGAAAACGGAGGGUGCAAGCGUUAAUCGGAAUUACUGGGCGUAAAGCGCACGCAGGCGGUCUGACAAGUCAGAUGUGAAAUCCCCGGGCUUAACCUGGGAACUGCAUUUGAAACUGUCAGGCUGGAGUCUUGUAGAGGGGGGUGGAAUUCCAGGUGUAGCGGUGAAAUGCGUAGAGAUCUGGAGGAAUACCGGUGGCGAAGGCGGCCCCCUGGACAAAGACUGACGCUCAGGUGCGAAAGCGUGGGGAGCAAACAGGAUUAGAUACCCCCGUAGUCUCUGUCUCUUAUAC
rnacentral:rRNA from 1 species